GACGAACGCUGGCGGCAUGCCUAAUACAUGCAAGUCGAGCGGAGUUGAUGGAAAGCUUGCUUUCCUGAUACUUAGCGGCGGACGGGUGAGUAACACGUAGGCAACCUGCCCUCAAGCUUGGGACAACUACCGGAAACGGUAGCUAAUACCGAAUACUUGUUUUCUUCGCCUGAAGAGAACUGGAAAGACGGAGCAAUCUGUCACUUGGGGAUGGGCCUGCGGCGCAUUAGCUAGUUGGUGAGGUAACGGCUCACCAAGGCGACGAUGCGUAGCCGACCUGGGAGGGUGAUCGGCCACACUGGGACUGAGACACGGCCCGGACUCCUACGGGAGGCAGCAGUAGGGAAUCUUCCGCAAUGGGCGAAAGCCUGACGGAGCAAUGCCGCGUGAGUGAUGAAGGUUUUCGGAUCGUAAAGCUCUGUUGCCAGGGAAGAACGCUUGGGAGAGUAACUGCUCCCAAGGUGACGGUACCUGAGAAGAAAGCCCCGGCUAACUACGUGCCAGCAGCCGCGGUAA
rnacentral:rRNA from 1 species